GACGAACGCUGGCGGCGUGCCUAAUACAUGCAAGUUGAGCGCUGAAGGUUGGUACUUGUACCAACUGGAUGAGCAGCGAACGGGUGAGUAACGCGUGGGGAAUCUGCCUUUGAGCGGGGGACAACAUUUGGAAACGAAUGCUAAUACCGCAUAAAAACUUUAAACACAAGUUUUAAGUUUGAAAGAUGCAAUUGCAUCACUCAAAGAUGAUCCCGCGUUGUAUUAGCUAGUUGGUGAGGUAAAGGCUCACCAAGGCGAUGAUACAUAGCCGACCUGAGAGGGUGAUCGGCCACAUUGGGACUGAGACACGGCCCAAACUCCUACGGGAGGCAGCAGUAGGGAAUCUUCGGCAAUGGACGAAAGUCUGACCGAGCAACGCCGCGUGAGUGAAGAAGGUUUUCGGAUCGUAAAACUCUGUUGGUAGAGAAGAACGUUGGUGAGAGUGGAAAGCUCAUCAAGUGACGGUAACGACCCAGAAAGGGACGGCGAACUACGU
rnacentral:rRNA from 1 species